GCGGAUAUGGUCAAUGGUAAA
rnacentral:tRNA from 2 species